rnacentral:RNase_P_RNA from 1 species
GCAGUUCGCUAGGCAAUCGCCCCUCGCUAUUGUUGAUUGACCGCAGUCAGUGAUAGUGAGGGGAGGAAAGUCCGGGCAGUAUAGGACAACGGUAGUCGCUAACGGCGACCGGAGGUGACUCUAGGGAAAGUGCCACAGAAACAAAACUACCCCGAUACUACGGUGUCCGGGAAAAGGUGAAACGAGUGACCCGUAAGGGUUGGGAGACCUAGCGAAGGCGUUUAAGCGCAGGCGUUAACUUCCAAGGUAAGAGCUCACAGUCUCUUGUGGUGACAUAGGAGAGAGGUAAACCCUACCGACUGCAAGGAGGUCUGCAUUUAGGGCGGUUCGUCCGCAGACCGAUAACCGCUUGAUUCAUCUGGCAACAGAUGAGCUAGAUAGAUGAUUGCCCACGACAGAACCCGGCUUACCGGUGAACUGCCAAG